rnacentral:rRNA from 1 species
GACGAACGCUGGCGGCGUGCUUAACACAUGCCAGUCGAACGGAAAGGCCCCUUUGGGGGUCCUCGAGUGGCGAACGGGUGAGUAACACGUGAGUAACCUGCCCUUGACUUCGGGAUAACUUCAGGAAACUGGGGCUAAUACCGGAUAGGAAUCCUUGCUGCAUGGUGGGGGUUGGAAAGCUUCGGCGGUUUUGGAUGGACUCGCGGCUUAUCAGCUUGUUGGUGGGGUAGUGGCUUACCAAGGCUUUGACGGGUAGCCGGCCUGAGAGGGCGACCGGCCACAGUGGGACUGAGAGACGGCCCAGACUCCUACGGGAGGCAGCAGUGGGGAAUAUUGCACAAUGGGCGGAAGCCGGAUGCAGCAACGCCGCGGGCGGGAGGACGGCCUUCGGGUUGUAAACCGCGUUCAGCAGGGGCGAAGCUUGUGGUGACGGUACCUGCAGAAGAAGCACCGGCUAACUACGUG